UACGGAGGGUGCAAGCAUUAAUCGGAUUUAUUGGGCGUAAAGGGCGCGUAGGCGGGGAUGUAAGUCAGAUGUGAAAUCCCGGGGCUCAACCUCGGAACUGCAUUUGAAACUAUAUCUCUUGAGGGUAGAAGGAGAAAACGGAAUUCCACAAGUAGCGGUGAAAUGCGUAGAUAUGUGGAAGAACACCGGUGGCGAAGGCGGUUUUCUAUUUUAUUCCUGACGCUGAUGCGCGAAAGCAAGGGGAUCAAACAGG
rnacentral:rRNA from 1 species